AGCGAACGCUGGCGGCAGGCCUAACACAUGCAAGUCGAACGAACCCUUCGGGGUUAGUGGCGGACGGGUGAGUAACACGUGGGAACGUGCCUUUAGGUUCGGAAUAACUCAGGGAAACUUGUGCUAAUACCGAAUGUGCCCUUCGGGGGAAAGAUUUAUCGCCUUUAGAGCGGCCCGCGUCUGAUUAGCUAGUUGGUGAGGUAAUGGCUCACUAAGGCUACGAUCAGUAGCUGGUCUGAGAGGAUGACCAGCCACAGUGGGACUGAGACACGGCCCAAACUCGUACGGGAGGCAGCAGUGGGGAAUCUUGCGCAAUGGGCGAAAGCCUGACGCAGCCAUGCCGCGUGGAUGAUGAAGGUCUUAGGAUUGUAAAAUCCUUUCACCGGUGAAGAUAAUGACUGUAGCCGGAGAAGAAGCCCCGGCUAACUUCGUGCCAGCCGCCGCCGUAAUAC
rnacentral:rRNA from 1 species